rnacentral:rRNA from 1 species
GUGACCGUGGCGGUGGAGGAGGAGGAUGAGGUAGCCAACACUAAUUUUAUAUAUAUAUAUAUUUUAAUUGGGGUAGCCCCCAAAAUAUUGGGACAUAUAAAAAAAGACAACUCUGUUCCGUAGAGUAGCUGUUGACAUUAUAGUUGCGCAAGAACUUUGUUGACUCUAGAGAACCUCAGGCAAAUCGCACAUCCCCGUGGCGGCGACUUUGCAUGCGGAUGUCAUCGAUAUCAACUUUCGAUGCCAGUUUCUGUGCCUACCAUUGUGACCACGGGUAAUGAGGAAUCAGGAUUCCAAUCCGUACAGGGACCCUGAUAAAUGGCUACCACAUGCAAGGAAGGCA